UACGUAGGGUGCAAGCGUUAAUCGGAAUUACUGGGCGUAAAGCGUGCGCAGGCGGUUGUGCAAGACAGAUGUGAAAUCCCCAGGCUUAACCUGGGAACUGCAUUCGAGACUGCAUUGCUAGAGUAUGGGAGAGGGAAGUGGAAUUUCCGGUGUAGCGGUGAAAUGCGUAGAUAUCGGAAGGAACAUCAGUGGCGAAAGCGACUUCCUGGACCAAUACUGACGCUCAUGUGCGAAAGCGUGGGGAGCAAACAGG
rnacentral:rRNA from 1 species